GUCGUCUAGCCUGGACUAGGACGCCGGCCCCCCAAGCCGGAGAUCCCGGGUUCAAAUCCCGGC
rnacentral:tRNA from 1 species